GGUGGUAUCGUCUAGUGGCCCAGGACGCUGGCCUCUCACGCCGGAAACCGGGGUUCGACUCCCCGUACCACUA
rnacentral:tRNA from 1 species